rnacentral:rRNA from 1 species
UUUUUUUAAUAAAAAUAUUUAUAAAAUAAUUUUUUAAUUUUAUUUAUUUAAUAUCUGUAAAGUAAAUUUAUAAAUAUAUUAUAGAAAUAUUAUAUUCCUUUAGUAUCAGGAAUUUUCUAACAAUAUUAAAUAUUUAUUUUUCCAGAAAUAAGGAGAUCUAUAAAUUUAUUUAUUAACUAUAGCAAAACUUUUAAAAAUAAAUUUAUUGAAAUUAUACAUUAUACGAGCCUUAUAAUAUCCGGUUUCUUAAAAAUUUAAAAUUUUAUUAUUUUUAAAAAUUAAGUUUUUAAAUUAAUUUAUUUCUAAAUAAUUAUAAUUAAGGAACAAAAGUUUCCAAAAAGUUUCAUAACUAAAUAAACUCAAAAUUCAAAUUCUAAUAUUAAGAUUAACUCAAAUAUCAUUUAAUAAUGAAAAUAUUAGUAAAAUUUUUAAAAUCAUUUUAUAAAUUAAGCAACAAAUUAAAUGACUGUUUACCAAAAACAUUUUUUACUGAAAAAUUAUAAUAAGUAACACCUGCUCAAUGAAUAUUUAAAUAGCCGCGGAAAUUUAACCGUGCUAAGGUAGCAUAAUCAUUAGUCUCUUAAUUAGAGACUAGUAUGAAUGGUGAAACAAUUUAAUUACUUUAUUAAAUAAUAUAUUUUAACUUAAAUUAAGAAUAAAAAUGUUCUUAUUACAAAAAUAGACGAUAAGACCCUAUUGAACUUUACUUUUGUUUAACUGGGGCAGUUACAAAAUAAUUAUCUUUUAAUUUAUUAAUUUAAUAAAUGAUCCAAUAAAAUUGAUUAUUUGAUCAAGUUACCAUAGGGAUAACAGCAUAAUAUAUUUUUAAAGCUCUUAUUUUAAAAAAUGAUUGUGACCUCGAUGUUGAAUUAAUGUUUCUUAAUGAAUGCAGUAAUUUUUUUAAGUUGGUCUGUUCGACCAUUAAAACAUUACAUGAUUUGAGUUCAAAUCGGUGUAAACCAGAUUGGUUUCUAUCUUUUUUUUUAAUUUUAUUUAGUACGAAAGGACCAAUAAAUUUACUUUUAAUA